rnacentral:lncRNA from 8 species
CUGCAGUCAGCAAGCCAUUUGCACACUCCCUUAAAACUUGAGACAUCUGUGGCAUUGGGAUGCGUGACAAAGCUGCACAUUUUAGAGUGGCCUUUUAUUGUCCCCAAUACAAGGUGCACCCGUUUAAUGAUGUUUAAUCAGCUUCUUGAUAUGCCACACCUGUUAGGUGGAUGGAUUAUCUUGGCAAAUGAGAAAUGCUCACUAACAGGGAUGUAAACACAUUUGUGCACCAUAUUUGAGAGAAAUAAGCUUUUUGUGCAUAUGGAACAUUUCUGGGAUCUUUUAUUUCAGCUCAUGAAACAUGGGACCAACACUAUACAUGUUGCAUUUAUAUUUUUGUUCAGCAUAUUUCUUGUUUUGUUUUGCCAUUGCUUGUGUUUGAUCAUGCUCAGAUGGGGACCCAAAGAACUACAUGGCCUGAGCAAAGUCAUUGAACUCAAACUAAACUUCAUAUUGGUACGGAGAUGCAAUACUGAAGACAGAGCCAUAUGUGCCCCAGUACUCACACCACGCACCUUCCACUGUCUGGCCUGCCUGUCACCUUCAACCACGCCACAUCAAGGAGCGCACCUUCCACUGUCUGGCCUGCCUGUCACCUUCAACCACGCCACACCAAGGAGCGCACCUUCCACUGUCUGGCCUGCCAGUCACCUUCAACCACGCCACACCAAGGAGCGCACCUUCCACUGUCUGGCCUGCCAGUCACCUUCAACCACGCCACAUCAAGGAGCGCCCGUUCCACUGUCUGGCCUGCCUGUCACCUUCAACCACGCCACAUCAAGGAGCGCCCGAUCCACUGUCUGGCCUGCCUGUCACCUUCAACCACGCCACAUCAAGGAGCGCACCUUCCACUGUCUGGCCUGCCUGUCACCUUCAACCACGCCACAUCAAGGAGCGCACCUUCCACUGUCUGGCCUGCCUGUCACCUUCAACCACGCCACAUCAAGGAGCGCACCUUCCACUGUCUGGCCUGCCUGUCACCUUCAACCACGCCACAUCAAGGAGCGCACCUUCCACUGUCUGGCCUGCCUGUCACCUUCAACCAUGCCACACCAAGGAGCGCACCUUCCACUGUCUGGCCUGCCUGUCACCUUCAACCACGCCACAUCAAGGAGCGCACCUUCCACUGUCUGGCCUGCCUGUCACCUUCAACCACGCCACAUCAAGGAGCGCACCUUCCACUGUCUGGCCUGCCAGUCACCUUCAACCACGCCACACCAAGGAGCGCACCUUCCACUGUCUAGCCUGCCUGUCACCUUCAACCACGCCACAUCAAGGAGCGCCCCUUCCACUGUCUGGCCUGCCUGUCACCUUCAACCACGCCACACCAAGGAGCGCACCUUCCACUGUCUGGCCUGCCUGUCACCUUCAACCACGCCACAUCAAGGACCGCACCUUCCACUGUCUGGCCUGCCUGUCACCUUCAACCACGCCACAUCAAGGAGCGCACCUUCCACUGUCUGGCCUGCCUGUCACCUUCAACCACGCCACAUCAAGGAGCGCACCUUCCACUGUCUGGCCUGCCUGUCACCUUCAACCAACACUUCAAGUCACGAAAAUCACAGCUAAUGUAGAUUUGACAGGACAAUAUAGCUUUUUGAAAUAUAAUUAUUGUUGAACACCAAUUGUUAUAAGGUGGAACCUAGACAUUUGUGCAUUUUGACUGAGUUUGGAGAUGUCCCUCUUGUGCAGUCCGGUCCUUCAGUCUGACCCUCAGAAUGUGAACGUGUUGAGGGUUACCUCCUGGAUGAACAGCCUACCUGCUGGAUGAACAGUACGGGGAAGGUGAGAUCUAAUGAAUAUUUCAUAAUUGAAUGGAUUUAUAUAGUACUUUUGCAUUGCUUAAUAAAGCACUUUUACAUAGUAAGGAAGGAACUCAACUCUUCUGUAAUGGCAUCUGACCUUUUCCUGUCUUAGUUGAGGCUUGUCCAUUCAACAUGCCCAACAAUGGAAUCUUGUCAGGUGUGCUGUUUGCCAUUGUCUUGGCAGUAGCUUUUCUUGUUUGUUGUCUAGGGUUUGUAGGCAGAUGCGUUAUUCUGUAGGAUGACAGUAGAGGGCACUAUUUUACCAUUAAGAGAAACAGAGAAACAAUGUAUAGUCCGUCCAUAUCGAAUUAAAUGAUCCGUG